AGGGGUUGCAAAACUAUUAAGAUGGACAAAGCAGUAAUAGUGAGAGCCCAGCGACACCCCGAACAAGAGUGGUGGGAUGGCUCUUGCUGCUUCGGGCCUGCAGAAUUUUAGUGUGAUACAAUGUAUGUAUGGUGGCACAUAUAUAUGGGAAUCCUCGGGUGUCCAACGCUUUGGUCCUCCUUUGUUAAUUUUACCACUGUUCAGAAUUGGCCAUGGUGGAAGAAAAGGUCAG